rnacentral:rRNA from 1 species
AGAGUUUGAUUCUGGCUCAGGACGAACGCUGGCGGUGCGCCUAAUGCAUGCAAGUCUACUACUUGUGACUUCGGUCACGCUAUAGUGGUGGCAGACGGCUUAGUAACACGUAAGUAAUCUACCCUCAAGUGGGGGACAAUCCGAAGAAAUUCGGUCUAAUACCCCAUAAUGUUUUAAUAUAUAUGUAUUGAAAAGAAAGAUUUAUCGCUUUUGGAGGAGCUUGCGGCCUAUCAGGUAGUUGGUAAGGGUAAUGGCCUACCAAGCCAAAGACGGGUAACCGAAGUGAGAGCUUGAUCGGUAAGAGGGGGACUGAGACACGGCCCCCACUCCUACGGGAGGCAGCAGCAGGGAAUCUUGCGCAAUGGACUGUAUGGUCUGACGCAGCGACACCGCGUGGAGGAUGAAUGCUUUCGGGUUGUAAACUCCUUUUCUUAGGGAAGAUGAUGACGGUACCUAAGGAAUAAGCAUCGGCUAACUACGUGCCAGCAGCCGCGGUAAUACGUAGGAUGCGAGCGUUGUCCGGAAUUAUUGGGCGUAAAGGGCGUCUAGGUUGAUUAAUAAGUCCUGUGUGAAAUCUCUUGGCUCAACCAAGAAAUGUCACAGGAAACUAUUAAUCUAGAGGUCAUCAGAGGUAAGUGGAAUUCACGGAGUAGUGGUGAAAUGCGUAGAUACCGUGAGGAACACCAGAGGCGAAAGCGGCUUACUAGGAUGAACCUGACACUAAAGCUCGAAAGCGUGGGUAGCAAACCGGAUUAGAUACCCGGGUAGUCCACGCCAUAAACGAUGGAUACUAGUUAUGGGAGGCAUUGACCCAUCUGUAACGAAGCUAACGCAUUAAGUAUCCCGCCUGGGGAGUACGGCCGCAAGGUUAAAACUCAAAGAAAUUGAC